AAUUCGAUUAGAGUUUGAUCCUGGCUCAGAUUGAUUCGCUGGCGGCAUGCCUUACACAUGCAAGUCGAACGGCAGCACGGGAGCUUGCUCCUGGUGGCGAGUGGCGAACGGGUGAGUAAUACAUCGGAACGUACCCAGGAGUGGGGGAUAACGUAGCGAAAGUUACGCUAAUACCGCAUAUUCUGUGAGCAGGAAAGCGGGGGAUCGCAAGACCUCGCGCUCUUGGAGCGGCCGAUGUCGGAUUAGCUAGUUGGUGAGGUAAAAGCUCACCAAGGCGACGAUCCGUAGCAGGUCUGAGAGGAUGAUCUGCCACACUGGGACUGAGACACGGCCCAGACUCCUACGGGAGGCAGCAGUGGGGAAUUUUGGACAAUGGGGGCAACCCUGAUCCAGCCAUGCCGCGUGAGUGAAGAAGGCCUUCGGGUUGUAAAGCUCUUUCGGCGGGGAAGAAAUGGCAACGGCUAAUAUCCGUUGUUGAUGACGGUACCCGCAUAAGAAGCACCGGCUAACUACGUGCCAGCAGCCGCGGUAAUACGUAGGGUGCGAGCGUUAAUCGGAAUUACUGGGCGUAAAGCGUGCGCAGGCGGUUUCGUAAGACAGACGUGAAAUCCCCGGGCUCAACCUGGGAACUGCGUUUGUGACUGCGAGGCUAGAGUACGGCAGAGGGGGGUAGAAUUCCACGUGUAGCAGUGAAAUGCGUAGAGAUGUGGAGGAAUACCGAUGGCGAAGG
rnacentral:rRNA from 1 species